rnacentral:rRNA from 1 species
UACAGAGGGUGCAAGCGUUAAUCGGAGUGACUGGGCGUAAAGGGCGCGUAGGCGGUUUUAUAAGUGAGAUGUGAAAGCCCUGGGCUUAACCUAGGAAUGGCAUCUUAGACUAUGGAACUGGAGUGCAGUAGAGGGUGGCGGAAUUUCCGGUAUAGCGGUGAAAUGCGUAGAGAUCGGAAGGAACACCAGUGGCGAAGGCGGCCACCUGGACUGUCACUGACGCUGGGGCGCGAGAGCGUGGGUAGCAAACGAGG